GAUCGGAUUUAUCUAUAUGUGUUAACAUGUUGUUUUCAAAAUGUUAUUAUUAAUCAAACAAUUUUCAAGUCCAGUUUUAGUAACAAUUCUGUGGCGAUAUUUUAAAACUUCAUGAAAGGCUUUAAUUUAUCUUGUCUAUUAUUGUCCAGAUCAGGGAUACCAAGAUAUGCUGGACAAGGGUCAACAAACAAUUUAUCACACAGAGUUAUUAC
rnacentral:lncRNA from 1 species